ACAGGUCAGUGUGGCGGUAUCUUAUCCUUAUAGAGGAACCUGAUCCUUAAUCGAUAAUCCACGUUUGAUCUUACUUUUACUAAUGUUUGUAUACCGUUGUUGUUAGUUUACCUUGUAUAGCUAGUCAGUUUUCUUAAUAGAAUUGGUUAGAUUUAUACUAGGCUAUUUUGUUACUUCAAAUCAAGGUGCAGUUUAUGUAGGAGUUGAGUUGAGUUACUAUGAAUUAGAAAUAGAUUGUAAAAUGAAAUUUUAUUUGAAAUAGGAUUUAUUAGUAAGUUUUUAUUAAUUAGAUUAGCUGAAUAGGGGUCUGAGAUAUGUACAAAUCGCCCGUCACUCUGGUUUUAAUAUCAGAUAAGUCGUAACAAAGUAGGUGUAAGGGAACUUGCACCUAGAUGC
rnacentral:rRNA from 1 species